rnacentral:piRNA from 1 species
UAUGUGUUAUUGUGACUUCAAGGAUGC